CCGGCAUUGUCCUCGCCCACAGAGGUUCUGGGCAGACCUGCAGCGUUCUGGACCCAUUAUCUGAAGGCUCUUUUUGAUCCGGCGUGUACAUUGAGCCUUUUGUGUCCAUUGUUGACUCGUCGUAACUGGAUCUGCGAGAAACGGAUCCGCCCCCCUGUGGCUCACCAGCGCGUCCUAACGCCACGACACUCCUGAGCCCCGAAGCCGCGGAGCCUUCACCAGUGAGGCCUCAUGGAAAAACCCAAGUGGACACUGCGAGGAGGCCCAGCUCUGUGGUCCUGGC
ensembl:lncRNA